GGCUUCAUAACUCUUGUGCCGUCACUACAGCAGCCCAGUGGCCUCCCCUAGUGCCAGUGCAGGCAAGGCUCAGUUGCACUCAGGAAAGACCCUGCAGCUAAUCCUCAUCCGACAAAGGCGUCUUUUUCGAUAGCCAAAAAUCGUACACUAGAAAAAAGUUUUGCAGAUUUGACACUCGCAAAGGAGAUCUCAAUGCUACUGAACCUCAUAUUCGACAUCCCCUCCUACAACUGGUUGCAAAAUUCUUCAAGGAGAUCCUCGAACCUAGUGAACCUCAUGUUCGACAUCCUGAUAGUAGAUUGCUCUUUACAAUAACAAGAUGUAGCACAACGAUAAACAAGCUCGUAGAGAAUUACUACCACAUGCAAUGGUAAUGCAAAACAACAAACACACAAAAGAU
rnacentral:lncRNA from 1 species